rnacentral:rRNA from 1 species
CACGUAGGGGGCAAGCGUUGUCCGGAUUUAUUGGGCGUAAAGAGCUCGUAGGUGGUUCGGUAAGUCGGGUGUGAAAACUCUGGGCUCAACUCAGAGACGCCACCCGAUACUGCUGUGACUUGAGUCUGGUAGGGGAGUGUGGAAUUCCCAGUGUAGCGGUGAAAUGCGCAGAUAUCAGGAGGAACACCGGUGGCGAAGGCGGGUCUCUGGGCCGAUAUUGACGCUGAGGAGCGAAAGCGUGGGGAGCGAACAGG